rnacentral:misc_RNA from 1 species
AAGUCGUAACAAGGUUUCCGUAGGUGAACCUGCGGAAGGAUUAUUAUCGUGGGGCUCCGGCCCCGUCGAGAUAUCACCCUUGCCUUUUUUGAGCACCGUUCCGUUUCCUUGGCAGGCCCGCCUGCCAACGGGGACCCUAACCAAACCCUUUUGCGUACCUGCAACCGUCUGAGAAACAAGCGAAAUAAUUAAAACUUUCAACAAUGGAUCUCUUGGUUCUG